rnacentral:misc_RNA from 1 species
GAUGAAGAACGCAGCGAAAUGCGAUAAGUAAUGUGAAUUGCAGAAUUCAGUGAAUCAUCGAAUCUUUGAACGCACAUUGCGCCCGCCAGUAUUCUGGCGGGCAUGCCUGUUCGAGCGUCAUUUCAACCAUCAAGCCCCAGGCUUGUGUUGGGGACCUGCGGCUGCCGCAGGCCCUGAAAACCAGUGGCGGGCUCGCUGUCACACCGGGCGUAGUAGAUUUUAUCUCGCUCAGGGCGUGCUGCGGGUUCCUGCCGUUAAAAAGCCUUUUUUACCCAAGGUUGACCUCGGAUCAGGUAGGAAGACCCGCUGAACUUAAGCAUAUCAAUAAGCGGAGGA